CCGCCAACGCGCCGCCACGCGCCGUGUCAAGUUAGCAUCAGAAGCUACUGAAACUGGGAACUGAAGCACAUCAGUCCCACAUCGAAAACAAGGAGAAGAUCAUCCUCUUCCUCACCUAUAAAAGGUCCUCUCCUCUCUCCUCAUUUAUUACGCAUUCAAUACUUGCUUACUGUUACUUUGUCAACAUAAAUACAUCGACUAACUUAGGCAUCGGAGAGCUGAAGACCGCCCAGCGCGGUCUCCCUCUGACGCCCCUUUGUAUUUCACUUGACAGGUAACGGGAACUACAACAACACAAGUAUCGAUCCGCCCAUCGGAUCAGCGUUAGCUAAAGUCCAGCUACCGCUAGACUUUUAGACAUUAACAAUAACCAUCCGGCAAUCGU
rnacentral:lncRNA from 1 species